GGGUGUAGAAAUACAUUAGUGGCGGACGGGUGAGUAACGCGUGAGAAUCUGGCUUUAGGUUCGGGACAACCACUGGAAACGGUGGCUAAUACCGGAUGUGCCGAAAGGUAAAAGGUUUACCGCCUGAAGAUGAGCUCGCGUCUGAUUAGCUAGUUGGUGUGGUAAGAGCGCACCAAGGCGACGAUCAGUAGCUGGUCUGAGAGGAUGAUCAGCCACACUGGGACUGAGACACGGCCCAGACUCCUACGGGAGGCAGCAGUGGGGAAUUUUCCGCAAUGGGCGAAAGCCUGACGGAGCAAGACCGCGUGAGGGAGGAAGGCUCUUGGGUCGUAAACCUCUUUUCUCUGGGAAUAAGCAAGUGAAGGUACCAGAGGAAUCAGCAUCGGCUAACUCCGUGCCAGCAGCCGCGGUAAUACGGAGGAUGCAAGCGUUAUCCGGAAUGAUUGGGCGUAAAGAGUCCGUAGGUGGUGAUUCAAGUCGAUUGUUAAAGAGCAAAGCUUAACUUUGUAGAAGCAGUGGAGACUGAAUCGCUAGAGAGAGGUAGGGGUAGAGGGAAUUCCCGGUGUAGCGGUGAAAUGCGUAGAGAUCGGGAAGAACACCAGUGGCGAAGGCGCUCUACUGGGCCUCAUCUGACACUGAGGGACGAAAGCUAGGGGAGCGAAAGGGAUUAGAUACCCCUGUAGUCCUAGCCGUAAACGAUGGAUACUAGGUGUUGUCUGUAUCGACCCGGACAGUGCCGUAGCUAACGCGUUAAGUAUCCCGCCUGGGGAGUACGCACGCAAGUGUGAAACUCAAAGGAAUUGACGGGGGCCCGCACAAGCGGUGGAGUAUGUGGUUUAAUUCGAUGCAACGCGAACAACCUUACCAGGGCUUGACAUGUCUGGAAUUUUCGGGAAACCGAGAAGUGCCUUCGGGAGCCAGAACACAGGUGGUGCAUGGCUGUCGUCAG
rnacentral:rRNA from 1 species